rnacentral:piRNA from 1 species
UACUAGUAGAUUGCAGCUGUGAUAA